AGUGGGGAAUUUUGGACAAUGGGCGCAAGCCUGAUCCAGCAAUGCCGCGUGCAGGAUGAAGGCCUUCGGGUUGUAAACUGCUUUUGUACGGAACGAAAAGUCUUGGGUUAAUACCCUGGGAUCAUGACGGUACCGUAAGAAUAAGCACCGGCUAACUACGUGCCAGCAGCCGCGGUAAUACGUAGGGUGCAAGCGUUAAUCGGAAUUACUGGGCGUAAAGCGUGCGCAGGCGGUUUUGUAAGACAGUGGUGAAAUCCCCGGGCUCAACCUGGGAACUGCCAUUGGUGACUGCAAGGCUGGAGUGCGGCAGAGGGGGAUGGAAUUCCGCGUGUAGCAGUGAAAUGCGUAGAUAUGCGGAGGAACACCGAUGGCGAAGGCAAUCCCCUGGGCCUGCACUGACGCUCAUGCACGAAAGCGUGGGGAGCAAA
rnacentral:rRNA from 1 species